GCCUUUGUGGUGUAGUGGUCAGCACGCUCGGCUCGUAAUCGAGAGGCACGUGGCUCGAAUUCCGGAGAAGGCG
rnacentral:tRNA from 1 species